GAGCCGGACCCCUCGGGAGGCCCCCGCGCAGGCCCGACCCCGCCCCAGCGCGCAGCCCGCGCUGCCAUUGGCGCCGCGCGCAGCCCCGCUGAACUGCCGGGGAGAGGCGGGGGAGACGCGCGCCGACCCGCGAGCGGGGGCCGGAGCUGGGGGCUUAGGGCGGCAGGUAGCGAGGCCGAGCCCCUCUCUCCAGGACGCCCUAUUUAAGCCAGGGUGUCAGUUGCUGACGAAUCAGCUUAAAACCCCCCCAAAGUGAGCAAACUCCCGCGCCCUUGGCGUUUGCUGGGCGGAAACUCCUUCGCCUUAACCAAGCGCGGGUUCCGUGUUCCUGAACUGAGACCACGGGCACGUCGGCUCUUUUCAGAAGGUCAAGCGGCUAAUCCUCGAAGUCAUCCGGCAUAGCCAGAGUCUGUUUUUUCCCCCGUCCGAAAUGGCAAUUGUAACAGCCACAGGGCUCCCAGGAGACGUGGGUGCAAUAACGAGGUGACAUUUUCUCCAGGUUCUAAGGACAGCUCACCACGGCCCCUCUGCAAGAAUUCUUGGGGCGCCUGGGUGGCUCAGUCAGUUGAGCGUCCAACUUGCGACUUCUGCUCACGUCACGAUCUCCCGGUUCAUGAGUUCGAGCCCCGCGUGGGGCUCUGGGCUGUCAGCGCAAAGCCUGCUUCGGAUCCUCUGUCUCCCUCUCUCUCUCUCUCUCUCUCUCUCUCUCUCUCUCUCUCUCUGCCUCUCGCCACUCAUGCUCUCUCUCUCUCAAAAGUAAAUAAACAUUACAAAAAGUUAAAGAAGAAGUGAGGAUUUCUUUCCACCAUGUGAGGUUACAAGAAGUCGGUGGGAGCUACCAGUCUGCGGCCUGGAAAAGGGCCCUCACUAGACACGGGAUCCGUCUGUGGACCUCCCUGCCUUCAGAACUGUGAGAAAUCAGUCUGUUGUUGCCGUCACCCAGUCUACGGUAACCCGCUGCAGCAGCCUGACCUGUAGCCCCAUGUGCACAAUGAGGAAGUCAGUCGUUUUGCCCAGAACAGGGCAGGACUUCCAGCUCAAGGUCAGUGAUUUUUCCACUGUGUCACGGGAUGGACCACAAGGUGGUACUUGAUCAAACAGAAAAUACGUCCUUGGAACUGGCCUCCUGGUCUCAACCUAGAUUCGGGACUUCACUUCAUGGCAAGCACCGGCCCUUUUCCUCUGGAACAGAUUUACCGCUUCGAUAAUUUAGACCUGACUUUCAGGAAGAGGCCAAAUAGGUUUCCCUCCCCUGAUCUGUGGGGAGUGGCUACACAGGGGCCCAUCUGGAAAGAGUUCUGGGAUCAAUUAGCCAGGUCUGCCAAGGGCAAGGCAGGGGGAGAGUUAAUCCUAUAUGCUAAAUAUUUGCCCAAACUAGUAAAGAGGUGGGGUAGGUGACAAACUGUAAAGAUUAGCUUUGCAGAAAAGCUUGGGAGGGGAAGAGAUUCCAGAGAAGUCUGGUUUCUGUCUCCUGGCUGAGCAGUCUGGAGGAGUGUGACUGCCGAUUGAGAAUAGUUAUGCCUAUUCAGGGA